AAGAGCAGAGAGACGAGGAGGCGGGGAAGGAACAUGGGAUGGGACCAUCAAGAGCGAUGAAAUAAAGCGAUCGAACGCAUAGCACGCAUCGGGCGCAACGCUUCGGUCGGUGCCCCCGGGUCUAAACAUUUUGCAAAAAGAAAAGAAAAAACGCAUCGCCUCGCGAGACAGGAAAUAACGCCGCCGCGCCAUGUAAUCUGCUCGCCGCCGGAGGAUAGGUAGGCGGGGCUGCGGGGGUUGCUCUUCCGCCGCUGGAGACCCGGGGCGGGUGCCCCGGCUCUCCCGGGUGGUGGAUCCUCCACUGCCCGCGUGCGGUAGCCGGAGACCAAGCACGCAGGUGUUCGAUGCAGGCCUGACCGGCGCAUCCCCUGGCCCUUGCUUGCUGGUCUACUCCUGACUUUCGUGGACUGGAUGCCUCUCUUGAGGACGGACUGUGACGGUAAAGCAACAACAUCAACUCGCAAUGGCCUCACGGGAAAAUAAGUUGUAGCCUGAGCUGAGCACGUGCCCCACUGUCCGAAUAAAGUGUAUAACAAACAGCAGUGUGUGGCUAAGGUGUCAUGUGUUACGGUAAGCCUCUCCCAGUAAAUAUUCGAUACAUGUUUGAGCCCUCUAUCUUGGAGGAAGGUGUGUGGCAUGCCCAGCUCUUGGUUGAGGGCCUUCAGUGAUUCAUCCACUGGUAUAGUGCAGUCUAAGCAGAUCAAUAGAUUAGGGUGGACAGGUGAUAAUUAUCUUGCCAAAUCUAGGCUUCCUUCCUACCUGCUCUUCUGUCAGUGAUCAGUGUAGAAUGAUAAAGAAAGAAGAAUAUCACUGUACACGUGGCCACUAAUAUUUCGUUUAUGGUUGAGAGCAAAAAUGUGUCGGUGCAUAUUUGGCUAGUAAUAUUUCUUUUUCAUUGAAAGAAGCCUCAAAGUGGCUGGCACUCUGUUCCUUGUUAGCAGGACACGCAGAACUGAACUGACAUGAACAUGGCAUAGUAUUAUCUGCCAACAUUUUUCAACGCUAUUAUCAGACACCUGCAGGUUCAUCAAAUUCUUGAAGUUGGAUCCCUGCAAACCCAAAGAAGCCACGUCGCUCGGUGAAAAGGAAGAAGAAACAGAAGUCACAUUGUUGUACAACAUGCUGUAUUUUUACUUGCUUAGAUUUCUUUACUGCCCAUGCAACUAAGAAAUCUCUGAUUGCAUGAUACGAUGCUGAAUUACAUAUUACUGAGAGUGAGCUUGCCGCUGCAUUAGAAAAAUGAAUAAAUAAUUGCACAUACUCUGAAAAUUGUAUCCGUUACACACUGCUGAAGUUGCCUGCCUCCUAAUCAGUUCCAGCGUAUAUGGUUCGAGAUUAUAUCCACCUAUCCGCCGAUUGGUUCAUCGCUACAGUUCGUUCCAGUUUCUACUCUAUUUUGAAGUCCACAGGUUAGACCAAAGGUUGGUCACGGAACAAUGAUUCAGGCGGUCAAGUUUGCUCAGGAUGUUGAUCUUGCUGGGAUCUUUCUCAGGUGAUCUCAACUAUUUAUCAUCAUUUGGUUUGCUGGGGUCUCUUGCCAGGUUUUUAAUUUGCCGUGUGGUUUUUUCUCUUUUGGUUUGCCGUGCAGUAUUGUUAGCAUGACUCUUAGCAUGAAAGGUUGGUCAUGAAAUUUUCUGUCCAUGAUGUUUGCAAUUAUUUCUGUCCAGGUUUUUAAUUUACUGUGCAUUUUUUUCAUUUUUGUAAUUUGCCAUGCAGUAUUGUUAGCACAGCUUUUGGCCUAAAAGGUUGAUCAUGAAAUUUUCUGUCCAUGAUGUUUGGAAUUAUUUCUUCGUGUUGCUUCUCCGUGUUGCUAAAUCACAAGGAAGUGUAGGUAUGUGUUUCGGCACAAUAUAGAAUAAAUAAAUAGUGUUGCCCUUUUUUAAUUAAAUGAUGUUAUCUUUAUAGAAGUUCAAAAGGAAAAAAGGAAACAGCUCGGUUGUCUUGGCCCAUAUUCAUCAUAACUUGGCUCGCUUCCAGUGUCCAGCUCAUUUGCUGAUCCAGUCACACAUAGUCCAGGAUGAAGCAGAAUCCCCUUGGAAAAAAAUGAUCUCACACGGCGACCCAGUGCAGUGGCUCGGCGCCCCAGCAUUUUUGGCCAGAGACCAGGCAGGCGGGAGGGCCGACUCGGCCAGAUGGCACAUCCCUUGACCCGGCUGCUCUCCUCCUGACUUCCGAGAGUUCCGCAAGCGUGUCGGAAAGUGAGGACCCGUUCG